UUAAAGAGAGAAGAUUUAGCUAAGUAGUGGUCGUUUUGAUAAAAAGUUACGCAUUUACAUUUACAUUUACAUGAUAGCGGCGGCAAAAAAAAAAGAGAAAGGAUUUUGAUGUAAGAAAUAGAGGAAACGAAUUGACGACGACGACUAAAACCAAGUUAAAAACUGAAAGGAAGGAAGGAAAGCUUUAAUUACUUGGGAAAACCAAACCAUCUUAAAGCUAUAAUCUAGCAAUGGAGCCCAAAGAUAAACACAGAAGAGAGAAUGGUAGAACAUGCCAGAAUGGAGGGAUGAUCCAAGGAGUAAAUUCCAAGAAUGUGCCUCUUUUUAAUCUGUUGGACACAAAUGUGCUUGUGUUGAGUUUCUUUUUCCAAACUAUGCUUUUGAUUUAAAAAUAAAUACAGAAAAUAACUUUUUUUUC